UACGUAGGGACCGAGCGUUGUCCGGAAUUAUUGGGCGUAAAGAGCUCGUAGGUGGUUUGUCGCGUUGUUCGUGAAAACUCACAGCUUAACUGUGGGCGUGCGGGCGAUACGGGCAGACUGGAGUACUGCAGGGGAGACUGGAAUUCCUGGUGUAGCGGUGGAAUGCGCAGAUAUCAGGAGGAACACCGGUGGCGAAGGCGGGUCUCUGGGCAGUAACUGACGCUGAGGAGCGAAAGCGUGGGGAGCGAACAGG
rnacentral:rRNA from 1 species